rnacentral:rRNA from 1 species
GAUGAACGCUGGCGGCGUGCCUAAUACAUGCCAGUCGAGCGAACAGACGAGGAGCUUGCUCCUCUGACGUUAGCGGCGGACGGGUGAGUAACACGUGGAUAACCUACCUAUAAGACUUGGAUAACUUCGGGAAACCGGAGCUAAUACCGGAUAAUAUAUUGAACCGCAUGGUUCAAUAGUGAAAGACGGUUUUGCUGUCACUUAUAGAUGGAUCCGCGCCGCAUUAGCUAGUUGGUAAGGUAACGGCUUACCAAGGCAACGAUGCGUAGCCGACCUGAGAGGGUGAUCGGCCACACUGGAACUGAGACACGGGACAGACUCCUACGGGAGGCAGCAGUAGGGAAUCUUCCGCAAUGGGCGAAAGCCUGACGGAGCAACGCCGCGUGAGUGAUGAAGGUCUUCGGAUCGUAAAACUCUGUUAUUAGGGAAGAACAAAUGUGUAAGUAACUAUGCACGUCUUGACGGUACCUAAUCAGAAAGCCACGGCUAACUACGUG